AAAGAAAACCUUCCUUAUAAGGCAUGUCUGAAGAGAUAUUUGGAAAAAUUACUUACUCUGCCUUUGUUUUGCCAAGUAGAGUAACUUUUAGAUCUUUUAUAUUUUUGAAAAAUUCUUAACCCGGUCAGUGUGGCCUACUAGAUUAAAUCUAGAGGGGAAAAAUGAAGAAGAAAUGAAGAUGAUGAUGAUGGCAAUGAUAAUGAUGCGUUUAGGUGCUCUGAAUAGGUUACUGAUGAGCCAUCUGCAGCAGGCCUGCUCCUGGAUGUCACGCCCCUGUUAAUGAAAUCUGGACGUGCACUGGAAAACGGACCUGGUGAAUGGUAGAUGUCAGCCCUUGCGUGAUGGGCAAUCAUCAAUCAUCCAUUGUCAGUUAUUUCUGUCCCAGUGAGUAAGCCUUUAUUUAAAGCAGAAAGUAAGAAUGUUGCCAGACCACAGGAACAAGCCCUGAGCUGUUUGCAGGUGCUGCUAUUCACAGCUGCCAAUUAAACUCCUGACAUUUCCAUAUUGGCCAUGAGGCACAGCAUAUGCUUUGGACAUACCAAAUCUUAAAAAAAAAAAAAAAAUCGUCACUCUCAGAUUAUCAAUACAUGUGUCUUUUUCCCCCAUGCUUUCAACAUUAGGAUUUUAAAGAUAGUUUAUUCUAGAAAUAGAGGAAGGAGAAACAAAAACUUAAGUGAAGGGAGUUAUUAAGAUGUGCGCAUAGCCUCCUUUCUUGCCUUUGGAAAGUGGCCAGCAUUUUAGAUGUGGAAAGUCUUUUCUGAUGCUGACAUCUACAUAGCAGAAAUCUCCUUUCAGGAUUUCCACUUUCAAAAAUCUUUUUCCUUCUAUCCUUAAAUUUUUUCUUACUAGUUGAUAACCAAAUGCUACUGCUUACCUCAUGUAAUCGAGUACUAUUAAAAGGAGAUAUUAAAAUUUUGAUCAUGCAACUAUAUUCCAUUUCUUUCAUUGGGAUUCAAACAUAAGUGUGCUUUGUGUUUAAAGAAUUUCAUGAAACUUGCCAGAGACAUUUUAGUCUUUCAU
rnacentral:lncRNA from 1 species